UCUUGGCUUCAAAUUCUUCCCAGGAUGUUAACAUUACCACUUAGCCACCAUGAUGUCAGGAAGACUACAAGCUCUUUGAGAAUUGAAGCCAAGAUUUGCUUGUUCACCACCCAAAUGUCUGGCAAUAGUGUCCAGCAUACAAGUUGCUGAAGGAAUUAAUCACACAAUAUGUGUAAAGCUCAUUAAACAGUUACUGACACGAAAGAAGUUAUUAAUAUGUCAACUGAAUAUUUGUUUACAGAAUACUAUUCAUAGAGACACCCAAUGAUGGUGCAACCUAACACCAAAGACACAGAAGAACCUGCUAAAUGCAAAGAUAAAACUUUCUGUAGUGCAACACUGAAAUAAAAUACAUAGAUUUAAAAAGCCAUUUUUUUUUUACCCAAGCUAUAAUUUCUGUAAAAUUUCUAGGAAAUACAUUAACUGUUUAUUAUGAGUCUCUCCUGAUUUGGCUAAAAGGGAAGUGACAUUAUCCACUUUUCUAUUUAAGUUGAGUCUAUGAAGAUAAUUAUAUAUCCAGAUUUUGUGUGUGUGUGUGUGUGUGUGAAAUGGUCUCACUCUGUCAGCCAGGCUGGAGUGCAGUUGUGCAAUCAUAAUUCACUGCAUCCUCCAACUCCCGGGCUCAAGCAAUCCUCCCGCCUCAACCUCUUGAGUAGCUAGGCCUACAGGAACACAGCACUAUGCCAGUCUAAUUUUUUAUUUUUAUUUUUGUAGAGACAGAGUCUCACUAUGUUGCCCAGGCUGGUCUCAAUCUCUUGACUUCAAG
rnacentral:lncRNA from 1 species